rnacentral:rRNA from 1 species
AGUGAACGCUGGCGGUAGGCCUAACACAUGCAAGUCGAACGGCAGCACAGUAAGAGCUUGCUCUUACGGGUGGCGAGUGGCGGACGGGUGAGGAAUACAUCGGAAUCUACUUUUUCGUGGGGGAUAACGUAGGGAAACUUACGCUAAUACCGCAUACGACCUACGGGUGAAAGCAGGGGAUCUUCGGACCUUGCGCGAUUGAAUGAGCCGAUGUCGGAUUAGCUAGUUGGCGGGGUAAAGGCCCACCAAGGCGACGAUCCGUAGCUGGUCUGAGAGGAUGAUCAGCCACACUGGAACUGAGACACGGUCCAGACUCCUACGGGAGGCAGCAGUGGGGAAUAUCAGACAAUGGGCGCAAGCCUGAUCCAGCCAUACCGCGUGGGUGAAGAAGGCCUUCGGGUUGUAAAGCCCUUUUGUUGGGAAAGAAAAGCAGCAGGUUAAUACCCCGCUGUUCUGACGGUACCCAAAGAAUAAGCACCGGCUAACUUCGUG